rnacentral:rRNA from 1 species
AGUUUGAUCCUGGCUCAGGAUGAACGCUAGCUACAGGCUUAACACAUGCAAGUCGAGGGGCAGCAUGGUCUUAGCUUGCUAAGGCCGAUGGCGACCGGCGCACGGGUGAGUAACACGUAUCCAACCUGCCGUCUACUCUUGGACAGCCUUCUGAAAGGAAGAUUAAUACAAGAUGGCAUCAUGAGUCCGCAUGUUCACAUGAUUAAAGGUAUUCCGGUAGACGAUGGGGAUGCGUUCCAUUAGAUAGUAGGCGGGGUAACGGCCCACCUAGUCUUCGAUGGAUAGGGGUUCUGAGAGGAAGGUCCCCCACAUUGGAACUGAGACACGGUCCAAGCUCCUACGGGAGGCAGCAGUGAGGAAUAUUGGUCAAUGGGCGAGAGCCUGAACCAGCCAAGUAGCGUGAAGGAUGACUGCCCUAUGGGUUGUAAACUUCUUUUAUAAAGGAAUAAAGUCGGGUAUGUAUACCCGUUUGCAUGUACUUUAUGAAUAAGGAUCGGCUAACUCCGUGCCAGCAGCCGCGGUAAUACGGAGGAUCCGAGCGUUAUCCGGAUUUAUUGGGUUUAAAGGGAGCGUAGAUGGAUGUUUAAGUCAGUUGUGAAAGUUUGCGGCUCAACCGUAAAAUUGCAGUUGAUACUGGAUAUCUUGAGUGCAGUUGAGGCAGGCGGAAUUCGUGGUGUAGCGGUGAAAUGCUUAGAUAUCACGAAGAACUCCGAUUGCGAAGGCAGCCUGCUAAGCUGCAACUGACAUUGAGGCUCGAAAGUGUGGGUAUCAAACAGGAUUAGAUACCCUGGUAGUCCACACGGUAAACGAUGAAUACUCGCUGUUUGCGAUAUACAGCAAGCGGCCAAGCGAAAGCGUUAAGUAUUCCACCUGGGGAGUACGCCGGCAACGGUGAAACUCAAAGGAAUUGACGGGGGCCCGCACAAGCGGAGGAACAUGUGGUUUAAUUCGAUGAUACGCGAGGAACCUUACCCGGGCUUAAAUUGCAGAUGAAUUACGGUGAAAGCCGUAAGCCGCAAGGCAUCUGUGAAGGUGCUGCAUGGUUGUCGUCAGCUCGUGCCGUGAGGUGUCGGCUUAAGUGCCAUAACGAGCGCAACCCUUGUUGUCAGUUACUAACAGGUUCCGCUGAGGACUCUGACAAGACUGCCAUCGUAAGAUGUGAGGAAGGUGGAA